rnacentral:rRNA from 1 species
UUUGACGAGAUAUUAACUGUUUCAUAAAAAUUUAUAAUAGAAUUUUAUUUUUUAGUCAAAAAGCUAAAAUAUAUUUAAAAGACGAGAAGACCCUAUAAAUCUUUAUAUUUAGGUUAUUAUAAUUUUAUAGAUUUUUUUUGUUAUAAUAAUUGAUAAUAUUUUAUUGGGGUGAUAUUAAAAUUUGAUAAACUUUUAAUUGUUUAAAUCAUUAAUUUAUGAAUAAUUGAUCCGUUAUUAGCGAUUAAAAAAAUAAGUUACC